rnacentral:rRNA from 2 species
AAUAGCCUAACGGCUGAACCAGCAACUUGGAGGAAUGAAUAGCGAUAGCUAGUUGCACAUAUAUAUGAUGCAAAAUCGACUCAGUCGAAUAAAAUUCUGGGUAUAAUUAUGAUGAUGACAUUAUUUACCCAUGUGUCUUGACCAAAUUACGUGCCAGCAGUCGCGGUAAUACGUAGAAGACUAGUGUUAUUCAUCUUUAAUAGGUUUAAAGGGUACCUAGACGGUAAAUAAAGCCCUUGCAUAGCAUAACGGGACUAAUUUGCUAGAGUUACUUACGCGGGGGUUUUAAAGUACUAAUGGUGUAGAGAUAAAAUUUUGUAAUACCAUUUUUCGAAAGAAAAGUUUUGGCACUGGUAAAGGCGAAAGCAUCCCCUUAUGUGAUAACUGACGUUGAAGGACGAAGGCUUUGGGUCGCGAAUAGGAUUAGAUACCCUAGUAGUCGAAGCAGAAAAUGAUGAGUGUCAUAGAUUAGAUGUUAAGUUUUAUUCUAUAAAUGAAAGUGUAAGCACUCCACCUCAAGAGUAAUUUGGCAACAUUGGAACUGAAAUCAUUAGACCGUUUCUGAAACCAGUAGUGAAGUAUGUUGUUUAAUUUGAUAACCCGCAAAAAACCUUACCACAACUUGAAUAUUUAUAUCUUUGAUAUUUUUACAAGCGUUGCACGGCUGUCUUCAGUUAAUGUCGUGAGACUUUGGUUAGAUCCAUUAAAUUAACGCAACCCCUUACUUUAUUUUAAAAUAAAGUCGUUCCCCACUAUAUUGGAUAUGAUAACAGGGACUAAGACAAGUCAUCAUGGCCUGAAUGUUGUGGGCUAUAGACGUGCCACAUAGACCUUUACAAAAGGAUGUGAAAUUGUGAAAUUGAACUAAUCCCACAAAACUGGAUAUAAUCUUAAU